UGCAAUCCUCCUGCCUCAGCCUCCUGAGUCCCUGGGAUUACAGGCCUGGGCCACUCACUGUAGUACCCACUGAGUGACAGGCAUUUCAAAUGGAACAAUGAGAACCAGAAAGCCAAUUAUAAUGGGAGCAUAAACUUCUAAGGGUGAAAUAUGCCCCAAAGGCACAUUGACCAGAAAGUUUUAAGAGGGAUGCUUAUUUAAGUGAGCAUCCUGAUCUUUGAAGUUCUCUGGAUCAGUUUAUUCUACAGUUUCCCCAAUGUUAUUUCUCCUUCCAGUGAACGAGAUAACUUCUGUGCUUCCGAAGAAAAACGUUACUUUAGUAUCCUUCUCUGGGCCUCACUAAAAUGAGGGACGUUUUGACAAGUGUCUUACACGUGGUUUAUGCAGAGGACGGCACAGUCUAUGGUACACAGAGAGGGUCACCACCACAGAGCAGACGCACGUCUCUGGAAAGGGGAGGAGGUUCUGGGUAUCCUGGAGACUAAGGCAAUUCUGUGACAGAUUGGGGGCUGUUUAGUCCUCCGACAGCAAGCAGAGGGGCACCUGGUUAGAACAGCUUCGCAAACGGAUCAGCACAGGAGGACUGGCCACUAAAGUCAUCCAUUUAGCCCCAAGAAGGUGAGAGGAUUCAAGGAGACGCAGUCUGCCAAGAACCUAAUGCGCAAUCUGUGGUUGAAAAGCCAUGUAUCAGUGGAGAAUUUGAUUCCUGUUCCUCCUGGCAUGUGAAUAUGUGGAGACGUAUGGGCAGACGCGUUUGGCUGCUUCUGAAUCAUAACAAGGGGCUGUGGUUCUGGGUGCAAAGACCACGAGACUCUGUCAAGCAUGCCAGCUUAGAAGAAAUUAAUAAAUGAAGAUUUAUGUCACCAUUGUCGGGCAUAAAUGAGCGUCUACAUAAAGCACACCCAGAAGGGAACUUUGGGAUGUGCUCUCAGAGAACAGGUGAAGUCGGCUGGGCUACGCUGUCUUAGUGGUUCCUGGAGGCUGACGCUAACUGCAGACCUGAGUGCCUUCAGGGCAGAGGAGAGAAACAUAAUCCACAGCCGGCUGGGAAGGGACCAGGUGUAGGGAUUCCCAGGAGGCCCUCAAAACGGGGCUUCACGAUGGGACAGGAUGCGUCCAGAGAGGUGGAGUAAGUACUGCACAGAGUUUGGUUAACCAAAACCCGCCCUGUGUGUCUCAGCUGUCCACAGAGAGAGCCCUGGACCGCAGAGAGGGCGGGUCUCUUAAGUUCUGAAGUUUGCAUCUUCCCAGAGGGAAAUGAUCUCGGGUCUGUAGAGACGGGAAGAGGAAGACGACUCAUUCAUCUUGUAUCCUGAAGUUAUGUCCUUCCUGAUGCUUGUUAAAAUUUCAUGUCUUUAAUGAAAUAAUGGUACUUGAAUUUUUAAUGUCCUUACCUGACAAAUUAAAAAUGGCCUGAAGCCUAUCCUUUGCUCUAA